UACGGGGGGGGCAAGCGUUGUUCGGAAUUACUGGGCGUAAAGGGCUCGUAGGCGGCCAACUAAGUCAGACGUGAAAUCCCUCAGCUUAACUGGGGAACUGCGUCUGAUACUGGAUGGCUUGAGUUUGGGAGAGGGACGCGGAAUUCCAGGUGUAGCGGUGAAAUGCGUAGAUAUCUGGAGGAACACCGGUGACGAAGGCGGCGUCCUGGACCAACACUGACACUGAUGAGCGAAAGCCAGGGGAGCAAACGGG
rnacentral:rRNA from 1 species